UAUAGCAAGUUGUUAUUGUUUUAGGUGGAUUUAGCAAAAAAUAAGCAAGGUUUCAUCCAUUGCAGUGGAAACGAACAUCCAGCAGUCAAAUUCGAAAUCGUUGAAACUUAGAAUAAAAAAAAGAGGGUGGAUUUAGCAAGAAAUAAGCAAGGUUUCAUCCAUUGCAGUGGAAACGAACAUCCAGCAGCCAAAUUCAAAAUCGUUCAAACUUAGAAUAAAAAAGAGGGUGGAUUUAGCAAGAAAUAAGCAAGGUUUCAUCCAUUGCAGUGGAAACGAACAUCCAGCAGCCAAAUUCAAAAUCGUUCAAACUUAGAAUAAAAAA